AAUAUUGCGCAAUGGGGGAAACCCUGACGCAGCGACGCCGCGUGAAGGAAGAAGGCCUUCGGGUGGAAAACUUCUUUGAUCGGGGACGCAGGAAGACGGUACCCGAGGAACAAGCCACGGCUAGCUACGUCCCAGCCGCCGCGGUAAUACGUAGGUGGCGAGCGGUGUCCGGAAUUACUGGGCGUAAAGGGCGUGUAGGGGGGGGGACAAGGCAGAUAUGAAAUACUGCAGCUUAACUGCGGGGCUGCAUCUGAAACUGUUCUUCUUGAGUGGCGGAGAGGAGAGUGGAAUUCCCAGUGUAGCGGUGAAAUGCGUAGAGAUUGGGAGGAAAACCAGUGGCGAGGGCGGCUUUCUGGACGACAACUGACGCUGAGGCGCGAAAGCGUGGGGAGCAAACAGG
rnacentral:rRNA from 1 species